rnacentral:rRNA from 1 species
GGUUAAGCGACUAAGCGUACACGGUGGAUGCCCUGGCAGUCAGAGGCGAUGAAGGACGUGCUAAUCUGCGAAAAGCGUCGGUAAGGUGAUAUGAACCGUUAUAACCGGCGAUGUCCGAAUGGGGAAACCCAGUGCAAUUCGUUGCACUAUCGUUAACUGAAUACAUAGGUUAACGAGGCGAACCGGGGGAACUGAAACAUCUAAGUACCCCGAGGAAAAGAAAUCAACCGAGAUUCCCCCAGUAGCGGCGAGCGAACGGGGAGCAGCCCAGAGUCUGAAUCAGCUUGUGUGUUAGUGGAACGGUCUGGAAAGUCCGACGGUACAGGGUGAUAGUCCCGUACACCAAAAUGCACAGGCUGUGAACUCGAAGAGUAGGGCGGGACACGUGGUAUCCUGUCUGAAUAUGGGGGGACCAUCCUCCAAGGCUAAAUACUCCUGACUGACCGAUAGUGAACCAGUACCGUGAGGGAAAGGCGAAAAGAACCCCGGCGAGGGGAGUGAAAAAGAACCUGAAACCGUGUACGUACAAGCAGUGGGAGCACCUUCGGGUGUGACUGCGUACCUUUUGUAUAAUGGGUCAGCGACUUAUAUUCUGUAGCAAGGUUAACCGUAUAGGGGAGCCGCAGGGAAACCGAGUCUUAACUGGGCGUUAAGUUGCAGGGUAUAGACCCGAAACCCGGUGAUCUAGCCAUGGGCAGGUUGAAGGUUGGGUAACACUAACUGGAGGACCGAACCGACUAAUGUUGAAAAAUUAGCGGAUGACUUGUGGCUGGGGGUGAAAGGCCAAUCAAACCGGGAGAUAGCUGGUUCUCCCCGAAAGCUAUUUAGGUAGCGCCUCGUGAAUUCAUCUUCGGGGGUAGAGCACUGUUUCGGCUAGGGGGUCAUCCCGACUUACCAACCCGAUGCAAACUACGAAUACCGAAGAAUGUUAUCACGGGAGACACACGGCGGGUGCUAACGUCCGUCGUGAAGAGGGAAACAACCCAGACCGCCAGCUAAGGUCCCAAAGUCAUGGUUAAGUGGGAAACGAUGUGGGAAGGCACAGACAGCCAGGAUGUUGGCUUAGAAGCAGCCAUCAUUUAAAGAAAGCGUAAUAGCUCACUGGUCGAGUCGGCCUGCGCGGAAGAUGUAACGGGGCUAAACCAUGCACCGAAGCUGCGGCAGCGACACUAUGUGUUGUUGGGUAGGGGAGCGUUCUGUAAGCCUGCGAAGGUGACCUGUGAGGGUUGCUGGAGGUAUCAGAAGUGCGAAUGCUGACAUAAGUAACGAUAAAGCGGGUGAAAAGCCCGCUCGCCGGAAGACCAAGGGUUCCUGUCCAACGUUAAUCGGGGCAGGGUGAGUCGACCCCUAAGGCGAGGCCGAAAGGCGUAGUCGAUGGGAAACAGGUUAAUAUUCCUGUACUUGGUGUUACUGCGAAGGGGGGACGGAGAAGGCUAUGUUAGCCGGGCGACGGUUGUCCCGGUUUAAGCAUGUAGGCUGGUUGUCCAGGCAAAUCCGGAUAAUCAAGGCUGAGGUGUGAUGACGAGGCACUACGGUGCUGAAGUAACAAAUGCCCUGCUUCCAGGAAAAGCCUCUAAGCAUCAGGUAACAUCAAAUCGUACCCCAAACCGACACAGGUGGUCAGGUAGAGAAUACCAAGGCGCUUGAGAGAACUCGGGUGAAGGAACUAGGCAAAAUGGUGCCGUAACUUCGGGAGAAGGCACGCUGGUGUGUAGGUGAAGCCCCUGCGGAUGGAGCUGAGACCAGUCGAAGAUACCAGCUGGCUGCAACUGUUUAUUAAAAACACAGCACUGUGCAAACACGAAAGUGGACGUAUACGGUGUGACGCCUGCCCGGUGCCGGAAGGUUAAUUGAUGGGGUUAUCCGUAAGGAGAAGCUCUUGAUCGAAGCCCCGGUAAACGGCGGCCGUAACUAUAACGGUCCUAAGGUAGCGAAAUUCCUUGUCGGGUAAGUUCCGACCUGCACGAAUGGCGUAAUGAUGGCCAGGCUGUCUCCACCCGAGACUCAGUGAAAUUGAACUCGCUGUGAAGAUGCAGUGUACCCGCGGCAAGACGGAAAGACCCCGUGAACCUUUACUAUAGCUUGACACUGAACAUUGAGCCUUGAUGUGUAGGAUAGGUGGGAGGCUUUGAAGCGUGGACGCCAGUCUGCGUGGAGCCAACCUUGAAAUACCACCCUUUAAUGUUUGAUGUUCUAACGUUGGCCCCUGACCGGGGUUGCGGACAGUGUCUGGUGGGUAGUUUGACUGGGGCGGUCUCCUCCCAAAGCGUAACGGAGGAGCACGAAGGUUAGCUAAUCCUGGUCGGACAUCAGGAGGUUAGUGCAAUGGCAUAAGCUAGCUUGACUGCGAGCGUGACGGCGCGAGCAGGUGCGAAAGCAGGUCAUAGUGAUCCGGUGGUUCUGAAUGGAAGGGCCAUCGCUCAACGGAUAAAAGGUACUCCGGGGAUAACAGGCUGAUACCGCCCAAGAGUUCAUAUCGACGGCGGUGUUUGGCACCUCGAUGUCGGCUCAUCACAUCCUGGGGCUGAAGUAGGUCCCAAGGGUAUGGCUGUUCGCCAUUUAAAGUGGUACGCGAGCUGGGUUUAGAACGUCGUGAGACAGUUCGGUCCCUAUCUGCCGUGGGCGCUGGAGAAUUGAGGGGGGCUGCUCCUAGUACGAGAGGACCGGAGUGGACGCAUCACUGGUGUUCGGGUUGUCAUGCCAAUGGCACUGCCCGGUAGCUAAAUGCGGAAGAGAUAAGUGCUGAAAGCAUCUAAGCACGAAACUUGCCCCGAGAUGAGUUCUCCCUGAGACUUUAAGUCUCCUGAAGGAACGUUGAAGACGACGACGUUGAUAGGCCGGGUGUGUAAGCGCAGCGAUGCGUUGAGCUAACCGGUACUAAUGAACCGUGAGGCUUAACCUU